rnacentral:rRNA from 1 species
UUUGGAAUAUUGCACAAUGGGCGAAAGCCUGAUGCAGCGACGCCGCGUGAGGGAAGAAGGUUUUCGGAUUGUAAACCUCUGUCUUCGGGGACGAAAAUGACGGUACCCGAGGAGGAAGCUACGGCUAACUACGUGCCAGCAGCCGCGGUAACACGUAGGAGGCAAACGUUAUCCGGAUUUACUGGGCGUAAAGCGCGUGUAGGUGGUUUGGUAAGUAGAGCGUGAAAGCUCCUGGCUCAACUGGGAGAGGUCGUUCUAAACUGCCGGACUAGAGGAUGGUAGAGGGAGGUGGAAUUCCGGGUGUAGCGGUGGAAUGCGCAGAUAUCCGGAGGAACACCAGUGGCGAAAGCGGCCUCCUGGACCACUCCUGACACUCAGACGCGAAAGCUAGGGUAGCAAACG